UGUGGCUGCUGCGGGGACUGCAUGUAACGCACAAUGCUAAGAUGACGGCCAUCUGUAGCGCCUGCCGCUUGUGUGAUCCACAUGAGAGUAAUUUGGGUGCGGCAAUCAGCGUCCUUUGGAUGAUAUCACAUCGGAAUCAUUCCUUGAAGUAUUCCCCAUUGGUUCUUCUGAGUUACAUGUAGACGGCGCAUAUUUGGUGCACUGAAGUUUCUGUGAAACACAUUGUUUUCGUCAUCCUACCGGAAACGACGACUUGAGGAAGAAAACUCGGUCUUUGGCAUUUUGUGCAGUAUAAGCGUAAUUUUGACAUGCGAGGGGACGGUGAGCCGUGACACGUCGUGCCAAAUUGUAACGGUCAGAUUGACCAUUACCAGGUUGGGAUGGGGGAAGAAUGAGGAUUCUUCUUGACUCUGUGAUACAUUCUGAUUAGAUUAUUUACAUUAUAUACAGAGAAUGAUUACACAUGAUACGGCUUGGCCGAAGGCAUGCACAUAAAAGACUGAAGCUACUCUAAUCUUCCGAUAAUGCAAUGGUCAAACCUAAGGUGGACCUGAAAGGGCAUGUAAUCACAUGAAAUGUCCCGUUGCACUCCCCCUCCUUAGCUAAGGUUUACAGAAAAGGGAGGUUGCUAAAUAAAGCUACAACAGUCUGUAUCACAGUUAGAUUAACCAAGGAAACAUUUGCUAACAUCAACUAUUUCUCAGUAUAACCUAUGGAAGUCUGAUCAAGUUUUUUUCUUUAAAUUAACAGCAUGAACCUGAAGUUUUAACGUGUUUAACGAUAUCAAAUGAAGAAAUCGCUUCUUUGUACAUGUACUUGAAUAAAACAUGAUAAUCGGACACCUAUGGCAGUCUCAUGCUCAAACUCCUACUGAUCUGAAGAUAAAUGUGAUCAAUAAACAUCUGUAAAUGAUGACUGAUAAAGCUAACUUAAUUAAUCAAUAUAAUAGUCAUAGUCAGGAAAAUAGACUACUCCAUGACUUGUACCAGACACUAUUAAUCAAGUAGGCUGCAGGAGACUUUGGGUACUCCCUUGCAAGCUUUGGGUUGCU
rnacentral:misc_RNA from 1 species